GAUCAUGAUAACUAGUCGAAUCGACAGGCCUUGUGCCGGCGAUGGCUCAUUCAAAUUUCUUCCCUAUCAACUUUCGAUGUUUGGGUAUUGGCCAAACAUGGUGGCAACGGGUAACGGAGGGUUAGGGCUCGACCCCGGAGAAGGAGCCUGAGAAACGGCUACUACAUCCAAGGAAGGCAGCAGGCGCGCAAAUUACCCAAUCCCGACACGGGGAGGUAGUGACAAUAAAUACUGAUACAGGGCUCUUUUGGGUCUUGUAAUCGGAAUGAGUACAAUUUAAAUCCCUUAACGAGGAACAAUUGGAGGGCAAGUCUGGUGCCAGCAGCCGCGGUAAUUCCAGCUCCAAUAGCGUAUAUUAAAGUUGUUGUGGUUAAAAAGCUCGUAGUUGAACCUUGGGCCUGGCUGGCCGGUCCGCCUCACCGCGUGCACUGGUCCGGCCGGGCCUUUCCCUCUGCGGAACCCCAUGCCCUUCACUGGGUGUGGCGGGGAACCAGGACUUUUAC
rnacentral:rRNA from 1 species